GGUCGCAUAGCUCAGCUGGUUAGAGCGCUACGCUCACAUCGUAGAGGCCUCUGGUUCGAAUCCAGAUGCGACCACCA
rnacentral:tRNA from 1 species